UGAUUGUCACUCAUAAUGAACAACUUAUCACCCAAAUAAAGGAGGCUAAUUCUCAGCUUAAGACACUUUUAUAUAAAAAAGCACAACACAAGCUUUUAUUUCAGGGCCAAAAUCGUUUUUGCGAGUCUGGUAAAACGGGCAGGUUUUUGGCU